CACGUAGGGUCCGAGCGUUGUCCGGAAUUACUGGGCGUAAAGCGUGCGCAGGCGGUUGGGUCAGUCGCUUGUGAAAGCCCCACGCUCAACGUGGGAAUGGCCAACGAGACGGCCCGACUGGAGGCAGGGAGAGGGCGGUGGAAUUCCGGGUGUAGUGGUGAAAUGCGUAGAGAUCCGGAGGAACACCAGUGGCGAAGGCGGCUCACUGGCCCGAUACUGACGCUGAGGCACGAAAGCGUGGGGAGCAAACAGG
rnacentral:rRNA from 1 species